UGUCCCGGGCUUGGGUCAACGCUGCGUUCUGGCCAUGUAGGGGAGUCCCGUUCCCCUACCUUCUGCCAGUGCCACCUGCUGUCUUCAUUGUUGUCGUCUUCACAAAGCAUCGCCAGUGUUAUGGGAGAAACGUGGCUUCUUGUUGCUCUGCUUUGCAUCCCGGAUGGCUCCUGAGGCUGAUUGUGUUCUCAAGGACAGAGUUGGUCCCUGUGGCUGAGAAAGGCAACUGAGGCACAGAGAGGUGAGGAAAGAGCCUGACCCUGUGGAGGAGCUACAAUGUGCAGGGGACGCUGGUGCCUGACUUCUUCUCCAGGACGGCCUGAGAAAGCUGCAGCCCACAGCCCCUGCCUUGGCUGCCUACACCUCCAUGGCCACAGAGAGCUCCAGGGAAGGGGUGAAGAGGCAAUAGGACCACAUGCCAGGCAUGGCCAAGCCCAGGCCAACAGGAACAGGGUCCAAGCCACAGAAAGGACCACUCCUCCUCCUGGCUGUAGGAUGAUGGCUGUUUCUUUGCCAAUUGCAGCUUUAGCUUCCAUCCAGGCUCCUUCCUUCUGCACCGGGUUGAUGAGGGCCUCCAAUCAACGAUCAGAUUCACCCCUUUCCUGCCUGUAUCUGACCGGGGCAGGCCCCUAACCUACCUGGCACAAGCCCACAUGCGAUCACGCAUCCAUUCUUGCACCCACUUUCAGAGGAAGCUCAUUCCCCUGCAGCAAGCAUGAGGCCCUCUGUCGGGAGCAAUGCUACAUAAUUCUAGGGAAAAAUCG